CGUUGAUUACGUCCCUGCCCUUUGUACACACCGCCCGUCGCUACUACCGAUUGAAUGGCUCAGUGAGGCGUCCGGACUGGCUUAGGGAGGUGGGCAACUACCACCCAGGGCCGGAAAGUUCGCCAAACUCGGUCAUUUAGAGGAAGUAAAAGUCGUAACAAGG
rnacentral:rRNA from 1 species